ACAGCUCAGUAACACGUGGCUAACCUGCCCUUGGGACAAGGACAACUCCGGGAAACUGGGGCUAAUCCCUGAUAGGUGAGAACUCCUGGAAUGGAUUCUCGCUGAAAGGACGUUUAGACCAUGCUUCUAGGCGUCGCCCAAGGAGGGGGCCGCGACCGAUCAGGUUGUUGGUGAGGUAACGGCUCACCAAGCCUUUAACCGGUACGGGCCGUGAGAGCGGAAGCCCGGAGAUGGGCACUGAGACAAGGGCCCAGGCCCUACGGGGCGCAGCAGGCGCGAAAACUCCGCAAUACACGAAAGUGUGACGGGGCCAUCCCGAGUGCCAUCCGCUGAGGAUGGCUUUUCCCCAGUGUAUAAAGCUGGGGGAAUAAGGAGAGGGCAAGCCUGGUGCCAGCAGCCGCGGUAAUACCAGCUCUCCGAGUGGUGGGGAUGUUUAUUGGGCCUAAAGCAUUCGUAGCCUGCUUGGCAAGUCCUCCGUUAAAUCCAACGAUUCAAUCGUUGGGCUGCGGGGGAUACUGUCCGGCUAGGGGGCGGGAGAGGCCGACGGUAUCCCCGGGGUAGGGGUGAAAUCCUAUAAAUCCCGGGAGGACCACCAGUGGCGAAGGCUGUCGGCUAGAACGCGCUCGACGGUGAGGGAUGAAAGCUGGGGGAGCGAACCGGAUUAGAUACCCGGGUAGUCCCAGCUGUAAACGAUGCAGGCUAGGUGUUGGCGCGGCUACGUGCCGCUCCAGUGCCGCAGGGAAGCCGUUAAGCCUGCCGCCUGGGAAGUACGGCCGCAAGGCUGAAACUUAAAGGAAUUGGCGGGGAGCACCCACCAGGGUGAAGCUUG
rnacentral:rRNA from 1 species